rnacentral:pre_miRNA from 1 species
GAGCUACUCCCUCCGUCCGGAAAUACUUGUCCUAAAGAUGAAUGUAUCUAGACUUAUUUUAGUUAUAGAUACAUCCAUUAUAUCCAUUUUUAGGACAAGUAUUUCCGGACGGAGGGAGUACUUG